rnacentral:misc_RNA from 1 species
GAUGAAGAACGUAGCGAAAUGCGAUACUUGGUGUGAAUUGCAGAAUCCCGUGAACCAUCGAGUCUUUGAACGCAAGUUGCGCCCGAAGCCAUCAGGUUGAGGGCACGUCUGCCUGGGCGUCACAUAUCGUUGCCCAACGCCUAUUGCAGUGCAAUAGGAAUUUCUAGGGCGAAUGAUGGCUUCCCGUGAGCGUUGUUGCCUCGCGGUUGGUUGAAAAUCGAGUCCUUGGUAGGGUGUGCCAUGGUAGAUGGUGGUCGAGUUAGAACGAUACCGAUCAUGUGCAUGCUCCCCAAAAUAUGGCCUCUAUGACCCACACGCGUCUUUUGACGCUCAUGACGAGACCUCAGGUCAGGCGGGGCUACCCGCUGAAUUUAAGCAUAUCAAUAAGCGGAGGA